rnacentral:rRNA from 1 species
UACGUAGGUGGCAAGCGUUGUCCGGAUUUACUGGGCGUAAAGAGCGCGCAGGCGGUCGUUCAAGUCGCGUGUGAAAGCCCCCGGCUCAACUGGGGAGGGUCACGCGAUACUGAUCGACUCGAAGGCAGGAGAGGGUAGUGGAAUUCCCGGUGUAGUGGUGAAAUGCGUAGAUAUCGGGAGGAACACCAGUGGCGAAGGCGACUACCUGGCCUGUUCUUGACGCUGAGGCGCGAAAGCUAGGGGAGCAAACGGGGAUUAAGAAAC